UACGAAGGGGGGCUAGCGUUGCUCGGAUUGACUGGGCGUAAAGGGCGCGUAGGCGGUUCGUACAGUCAGACGUGAAAUUCCUGGGCUCAACCUGGGGGCUGCGUUUGAUACGUGCGGACUUGAGUGCGGAAGAGGGUCGUGGAAUUCCCAGUGUAGAGGUGAAAAUUCGUAGAUAUUGGGAAGAACACCGGUGGCGAAGGCGGCUCACUGGCUCAUUUCUGACGCUCAGGCGCGACAGCGUGGGGAUCAAACAGG
rnacentral:rRNA from 1 species